AGGAAGAGGAAGGAGGAGGAGGAAGAGGAAGGAGGGGGAGGACGUAGUGGAGGAGGAUUUUGCCCCACCCCAGGUCCUUCCUUGUUUCCGCCAGCCUUCGGUGCGCACCCACUGUGUACCAGGCACUGAAAAGGAUCCUCUCCCCUCUCUCCAUCUCGCACCCCGGGCUUCCAGAGCAGCCAGAAUCCCCCUUUGCCCAGCCCAUCGGUCCAUGAAAGCACCGCAGCAAGCAUAAGCUGUUUGUUAGUUGGUGUUAAUUCUGAUCUUGGCUCUGACAAGUGGCUAGUCUGAUUGCACACAGAUAGCUGAUUUGGAAUGUUCUCAUAUUGUGGUAGAAGAGGAAGACUUGGGCAGGGGAAGAGGACUGACCAAAAAAAGAAAAAAUGUACAGAAGAGAAGAGGAGGGAAAACAGGAGACCCAGAGAAGUUAAGCUCUCAGUGCCAAGGAGGGCGGACUCAAGCCCAACUCUCUAGCAAUCUCCAUGAUACCUCACUGCCUAUGAAAUAAUAUACGUGCCUAUGAAAUAAUAAAACAAGGA